UGCUCCAGGAUAGCUGGAUUUCUGAGGAAUCUUUCAUGUUUCUGGCUACUCCUAGUCCUACUUAUGACAAGGAAUCUGAAGCCUGGACCAAUCAAUCGCCUACAUCAGCAAGAUUGGCGGCAUAUGCAACCAGCUGUGCAAUAUGAAGAAUCGAGAAGCACCAUUGAAAACACUUUCCAUUUAUAGCUAAUUGUAUUGACAUAGGUUAGA